CUCUUCUUGAAUUGUUUUUGAAGUAUAACCUGCCCACUGAUGAAAAAUUUUAAAGGGCCGCGGUAUUUUGACCGUGCAAAGGUAGCAUAAUCAUUAGUCUUUUAAUUGAGGACUAGAAUGAAUGGUUGGACGAGAAAUAAACUGUUUCUUAAAAUAUUUUAUUGAAUUUAAAUUUUAAGUUAAAAUGCUUAAAUUUUUUUAUGGGACGAGAAGACCCUAUAGAAUUUCAUAAAUUUUAUUAUUAUUUUGUUUUGAUAAGAUGUUAUUAUUUUUAUUUUUAUUUUGUUGGGGUGAUUGGAAGAAUUAAUAAACUCUUUUUUUUAUUUAUAUAUUUAUUUAUAAUUUUAUGAUCCAAUUUUUUUGAUUAUAAGACUAAAUUACCUUAGGGAUAACAGCGUAAUCUUUUUUGAGAGUUCUUAUCGAUAAAUGGGUUUGCGACCUCGAUGUUGGAUUAAGAUUUAAUUUGGGUGUAGCAUUUCAAUUGUUUAGGUCUGUUCGACCUUUAAAAUCUUACA
rnacentral:rRNA from 1 species